rnacentral:rRNA from 1 species
GACGAACGCUGGCGGCGUGCUUAACACAUGCAGGUCGAGCGGAAAGGCCCUUCGGGGUACUCGAGCGGCGAACGGGUGAGUAACACGUGAGUAAUCUGCCCUUGGCUUUGGGAUAACUACCGGAAACGGUGGCUAAUACCGGAUACGACAACCGUCUGCAUGGGCUGGUUGUGGAAAGUUUUUUCGGCCAGGGAUGUGCUCGCGGCCUAUCAGCUUGUUGGUGGGGUAAUGGCCUACCAAGGCUUCGACGGGUAGCCGGCCUGAGAGGGUGACCGGCCACACUGGGACUGAGACACGGCCCAGACUCCUACGGGAGGCAGCAGUGGGGAAUAUUGGACAAUGGGCGGAAGCCUGAUCCAGCAACGCCGCGUGAGGGAUGACGGCCUUCGGGUUGUAAACCUCUUUCAGUACCGACGAAGCGCCGAUGAUGGUGGUGACGGUAGGUACAGAAGAAGCACCGGCCAACUACGUG